CUGGGGGCAGGGGGAGGGGGAUUCUCUGCCAGGGCCUCACCCCCGCCCCUGGCACAGGGAAGACCCACGAGCUGCACGGGGAACUGCACAGGAAGCUGCGGCUGCGCCAGGCUCAGCUCAAGCACUGAUGGGGACACUCUGGGGGGGCCCUGCUGCCCCCCCACUUUGUGCCAGCAGCCAGUGGGGACAGCAGGGACCCCCCUCACCCUCAGCGCCCCCUGGGGUGGCACCGCGGGGGGAACCCCCUCAUGUUUGUGAAUAAAGAACCCCGUGCCCACCCAGCCCUUCCUGCCCCUGGCGCCGUGGGGGUGUCACAGGCACCCCGAACCCCCCCCGUGCCCCAUCCACGCCCACGUCACACCUACAUCCCAAUUUAUUCUCCAGGCAGCACGGCUGAGGCACUACAAGGUGAAGAAAGAGGCUCAGGGCUACGUCAUCGACACGGAGACCCCCCACCGCUGCUCGUCGCUGGCGGACGUGGUGCAGUUCUUCGUGAGGAGGAGCGAGGGCAG
rnacentral:lncRNA from 12 species